rnacentral:rRNA from 1 species
GACGAACGCUGGCGGCGUGCCUAAUACAUGCAAGUCGAACGAGAGCGACCGGCGCUUGCACUGGUCAAUCUAGUGGCGAACGGGUGAGUAACACGUGGGUAACCUGCCCAUCAGAGGGGGAUAACAUCCGGAAACGGAUGCUAAAACCGCAUAGGUCUUCGAACCGCAUGGUUUGAAGAGGAAAAGAGGCGCAAGCUUCUGCUGAUGGAUGGACCCGCGGUGCAUUAGCUAGUUGGUGAGGUAACGGCUCACCAAGGCCGUGAUGCAUAGCCGACCUGAGAGGGUGAUCGGCCACAUUGGGACUGAGACACGGCCCAAACUCCUACGGGAGGCAGCAGUAGGGAAUCUUCCGCAAUGGACGCAAGUCUGACGGAGCAACGCCGCGUGAGUGAAGAAGGUUUUCGGAUCGUAAAACUCUGUUGUUAGAGAAGAACAAGUGCUAGAGUAACUGUUAGCGCCUUGACGGUAUCUAACCAGAAAGCCACGGCUAACUACGUG